ACCAAAACAGAGAAAAAACGUGGAGAUCAGACGUGAAAGGUGGAGGGUUUUGUCAACUUUACAUACCUCGGCAACAUAGCAAGCAACAAUGGAGGAACAUGUGAAGACAUUGAACCCAUGUAACGGCAAUCCAAAGGAAAAGAAAAGAAAUAAGCCUUGACUACCGGUGAAAAUUAUAUGAAGGUUUUGUAGAACCACCGCCAUUCAUCCAAGGAUGAAAAGAAAACUGACAUGAAGGAAACGGAAGCCACCAGGCAAGUGAUACAGCCCAUAUAAAUGUGCCCUUGAAAAUACAAAGAUGAGUAGAAAACAUAACGGGAGUCUCUAUGUACAGCACGAAUUCUAAUAUGAAAAAUGUAUCUGAAUUCUGAAGUACAAUGAAAAAAAUUAUAACACGAAACAUCAAGGAGCUACAGAUCGAACUCUCUUCUGUAAAAUGGCUUCUAUGAGAGAGAGAGAGAGAGAGAGAGAGAGAGAGAGAGAGAGAGAGAGAGAGACUUGUGUUAAGUUCUUGUUCUUACAUAGCAUAUUGUUUUUUAGGUGAUUGAUAAAAUUGUAUGAUUUCCCACCAUUGAUUUUGGAGUUGUCAUUUACUUGCCGAAGGACCUCCCCACUUUAGCUGUAGCUUGUGGU